GAUGAACGCUGGCGGCGUGCCUAAUACAUGCAAGUCGAGCGAAUGGAUUAAGAGCUUGCUCUUAUGGAGUUAGCGGCGGACGGGUGAGUAACACGUGGGUAACCUGCCCAUAAGACUGGGAUAACUCCGGGAAACCGGGGCUAAUACCGGAUAACAUUUUGAACCGCAUGGUUCGAAAUUGAAAGGCGGCUUCGGCUGUCACUUAUGGAUGGACCCGCGUCGCAUUAGCUAGUUGGUGAGGUAACGGCUCACCAAGGCAACGAUGCGUAGCCGACCUGAGAGGGUGAACGGCCACACUGGGACUGAGACACGGCCCAGACUCCUACGGGAGGCAGCAGUAGGGAGUCUUCCGCAAUGGACGAAAGUCUGACGGAGCAACGCCGCGUGAGUGAUGAAGGCUUUCGGGUCGUAAAACUCUGUUGUUAGGGAAGAACAAGUGCUAGUUGAAUAAGCUGGCACCUUGACGGUACCUAACCAGAAAGCCACGGCUAACUACGUGCCAGCCGCCGCAGUAA
rnacentral:rRNA from 1 species